GGGAGGGUUCCCGAGUGGCCAAAGGGGGCAGACUGUAAAUCUGUUGGCUCCGCCUUCGAUGGUUCGAAUCCAUCUCCUCCCAGCA
rnacentral:tRNA from 1 species